UAGGCGUAUCUUCGGCAAUGGACGGAAGUCUGACCGAGCAACGCCGCGUGAGUGAAGAAGGUUUUCGGAUCGUAAAGCUCUGUUGUAAGAGAAGAACGAGUGUGAGAGUGGAAAGUUCACACUGUGACGGUAUCUUACCAGAAAGGGACGGCUAACUACGUGCCAGCAGCCGCGGUAAUACGUAGGUCCCGAGCGUUGUCCGGAUUUAUUGGGCGUAAAGCGAGCGCAGGCGGUUAGAUAAGUCUGAAGUUAAAGGCUGUGGCUUAACCAUAGUACGCUUUGGAAACUGUUUAACUUGAGUGCAAGAGGGGAGAGUGGAAUUCCAUGUGUAGCGGUGAAAUGCGUAGAUAUAUGGAGGAACACCGGUGGCGAAAGCGGCUCUCUGGCUUGUAACUGACGCUGAGGCUCGAAAGCGUGGGGAGCAAACAGGAUUAGAUACCCUGGUAGUCCACGCCGUAAACGAUGAGUGCUAGGUGUUAGACCCUUUCCGGGGUUUAGUGCCGCAGCUAACGCAUUAAGCACUCCGCCUGGGGAGUACGACCGCAAGGUUG
rnacentral:rRNA from 1 species